AUAUGAGUAAUUCUUAAUAAUGCUGGCUCCAGUGAAAAAAUCCAUCCCGUUGUCCUUUCACAUCAAAUUCCACUGAUGUAAUUUUUAAGAACAACUGUUUGAAGAGAAAUACUUACCUUGAUGGAUUUAUUUAUCACAAAUAAGCAGCUUUUUGCCACACAAGAUGUUAACAGAUGGAAAGGAAUCAUGUGGAUUACUUGUGGAUUAUUGUGAUGUUUUUAUCAGCUGUUUGGACUCUCAUUCUGACGGCACCCAUUCACUGCAAAAGAUCUAUUGGUGAGCAAGUGAUGUAAUGCUACAUUAAUCCAUAUCUGUUCCAGUGUUGAAACAAACUCAUCUAUUAUAUUAGAUGGCCCGAAGGAGAGGACGUUAAGCAAAUGUUCAUUUUCUGGGUGAACUUUAUUCCAGAUAAAAGUAGAUUUACUCAAGCAACCCAACUGAUCUGUGAUAUGUUUGUUCUCUUUUUUUUCUCAGGAUGUAUGAGCAUGUUUGUGACCUGGGAUUGUUUCUGUUCAAUGACGCUCUAGUGCUAACCAAGAGGAAUGUGUCAAACGUGUGAUUUUGUCUGGCAGUGAACACAACUCACACCUUUCUGGUCACUGUGGCCCUUUACUUUUUAAAUCUCACAGAAAUCACAGAUACUAAAGUCUGGAAAGUUCAAUGUGCCUGUGAAUCUGUGCUACAGAACGAGAAGAGGACAAGAUCAGGCUGCUGUCUGCUUCACACAGUGAUAUAAACGCUGCUGUAACACGUUUAACUAAAGAUGAACAUAGUGUUCACUACUACAAAUAUGAAGAAACUAUGAUUGAUAAUAGAUGGACAUAUGCAAUUGUUUUAUUACAAAGCAAAUUGAAUUGGUAUGAUUAUAAUGUUUGAUUAUGCAUGAUAAACGUAUGAAUUAUUGCAAUAUAAAAGUCUGUACCUUUAUCUAUA